rnacentral:lncRNA from 1 species
CUUCCAUGGGAGGCAUCAGAAUCAGAGGUUCCUGCAACUUAUUCUUUUAUCUUUCAAUGCCCCUUGGCAAUCAUUAUCCACCUGACCGUUUGCUCUUUCUUCCAACAGCUUGGGUGGGUUCACACGUGGCUAUUAUAUGAGAUGUGAACCGUGAAAUGCAUUUCAAUCCACCUAAGAAGCCACGACCCUUCUUUUCUGUUCUCGGUUCAGGCGUUUCUUGUAUCGUUUUUUCCCCUCUUUAUCUUUCUUUUCUUUCUUUUCUUUCUUUUUUUUCUUUUCUUUCUUUUUUUCUUUUCUUUCUUUUUCUUCUUUUUAGCAGGAUCAACCUCGAUUCCUCUUAUCCGCUCACAAUAAGCCUCAGCAUUUUACCGGACAGCACUCCACAAGUGCACUGAUUCGGACUCAACCUCAGUUUGAGUUGUCUCAAUCCGGUCAAACAACUUGCCCCGGUCUACCAGAUGCCCUUAUUCUGCUUGGGACUUUGCUAUCAUGUCAUCAACAUAGCAUUCGAUUUCAUGAUGAAUCAUAUCAUGAAACAAAGUCACUCUGAUACAUGGCACCGGCGUUCUGCUUCACUAGAGGACAAUCUUCUCUCCAUGGCAGCUUGUGCACAACGACAUCGGUAUCCGACCCUGGCAUAUCCUAAUACGACCAGGCGAAGAUAUCAACAUGCUCUUUCAACAGGGCUACCAUUCUGCUCUCGACUCGCCUCUGAAGCGGCCCCAACUUUCACUUCCUUUCUGACCUUGGCGGUGCCUGGAUUAACAAUCUUGAAUCGCUCCUCGUGCGGUUGAAUCACUUUCUCCUCUUGUUUCAACGACCUGGCUAAUUCCAGCAGAUCACAAUCUUUUUC